GCAGACCACUCCGGUGCCUAAAACAUUCCCAUCAGACCACAGGGAAUCACUGAGGAAUUGGACUGAACCAUCUGCUUUAUCUGCAAGUAAGGAAGAUAGCUGUGAACUGCCCCCCUGCCCCUUCGGCUGUGAUGCUGUGACUUACUGUGCGAGGCAUAUUCAGCCUUUCAGCGUGAAUUAAACCAGCAACCAACAGCCAGAGGGUCGUAACUGUUUAAGCUGCUAAGGCUCAACUGAAAGAGUAUAUCCAAGUGUACUUCGACCCUCUGUCCCUCAGCCUUCAAUCUAUAAACUGUGAAUUAUGUCUCUCUACCUCAUCACCGUAAGUUGUGACAGUUGCUCGCUCACAGGAUUACGGUUUAAAUAAAAAUACAUUUAAAGCUGAA